UACAGAGGGGGCUAGCGUUAUUCGGAAUUAUUGGGCGUAAAGGGCGCGUAGGCGGCCAUGCGUGUCUUCCGUGAAAUCCCUCGGCUUAACUGAGGACGUGCGGAAGAAACUGCAAGGCUUGAGUCCGGGAGAGGGGGGUGGAAUUCCUAGUGUAGCGGUGAAAUGCGUAGAUAUUAGGAGGAACACCAGUGGCGAAGGCGGUCUGCUGGACAGCAACUGACGCUGAGGCGCGAAAGCGUGGGGAGCAAACAGG
rnacentral:rRNA from 1 species